rnacentral:lncRNA from 1 species
UUACAAAUCUCCACCUCCACCAUACUAUAAAGAAUCUACACCUUCCUAUAAUUCUCCUCCACGCCCAACAAAAUACUACGAGCAAUCACCUAUAAGUUACAACUUGCCAUCUAUACCAAAUACAUACUCACCUCCACCACCCGCAAACUAUUACAAGCAAACUCCCACAUAUGCCUCAUCUACACCACUUGAGAAGUACGAGCAAUCCGUCAUUUAUGCUUCCCCUCCACCCCCAUCAGCAUCUCCUCCACCAACCUACUAUUGAUAUUAAUUAUUCAGCCAGUUUCUUCCAUU